AAGAAAGAUGUGAGAGUGUCAUGCAUGUUACAUGUUACAAGAAAUACAUUGGUGUGGCAGAGACUCAAGCACUACUCAUCGUGGUCAAGUUACCCAUGACUAGCAUCUUCUCCUCUCACGUGAACAAUCUGGACUGGCGACCAUCUUAACUGGAACAACUGGGUGAAUAAUUAACCAGCAUAAAAUUAUUUAAGGAGUCAAGUCUCAAGAGGCUGACACACCUGGGCUGAACCUGGAAGUCUCCAGGUUUUGAAUUUGCGAGGCGGCUUGAGCUAACCCUAGGGCACGAAGCUGAAGGGCAGCCAGCGCUGGGCUAUAAUGGUGGUGACUUCUCUACUCCUAAAUGAUCUAAGAACCUUCCAGCACUGUGAGAACUGGUUCACAGGGUGAAGCUUCUAGCUCAGUUUCUCUGAUUGAUAACAUACGUAAGUAGUUGUCUUCAACUGAAAAAAAUAUUUCAAGUGGUCAGUUAGCUGUGGGAGUAUAGAUUCCAAAGGUGUAUAGCAAUUUUCCCACUGAUACCUUUGUUUCACUAGUAAAAAUAAUGAUAUGGAAUUAAAUCUAAAGGUAACUCAUAUCUGACAGUUAUAUUCCAUGUAAGAUUAGAGCAACAGUACAGAACUAAUGCUAAGAUAAAUUUAAAUUUGAAAGGGCAAUGAUUGAUAAACCAAUUUGUAUAAAAUCAAAUGAAUUAUUCUAGUCUUAUGUAACAGGACAUAUGUGCCAGUAUUUUAACAGUUUUGGAGCAAAUUUUCAGUAGAAAAUGAACAAAUUUUGAAUAGAAACAUCAUAAAAAUGUCAAGAAUUAAAGCUAGCAAUAUUCAUUAGCAUUUAAAUGUCCUAUUUCUUUCAGUUAAUAACUAUCUUUCACAUAUUUAUUUAGACAUAUAACCUUGAACUCACUUUCAAGCACCAUCUUUAAUUCAAGUAAUAUGUCAUUAUAAGAUCAUGUGAUUAACAUGAGGCUACAGUCAAGAUUAAAGCUUGUGUCUAUUUGGCUUGAAGAAGUAUUGUGUUUGCUGAUUUAGUAUUUGAAAAUUAUAUACCUUCAAAGUAGGAUGUGUUCUUCUGUAUUUGCUUAGAUGACCCAAUUCCCUCAGUGUCUUCUCUAGUAUGUAAUUCUCCAAUCCUUGGUAUAAUUUCACCUCAUUAAUUUAGUUAGUUAAUGAUGACAUUGUGAUAAAUGUUUGAUUUAAACAUUUAUGAAUUAAAUAAUGGGCUCAAGUGUUAAAUCUCAAUGUUAUUUUAGGGUCUAACUUAACUAAGAUUUUCACUUAUUGGACGUUUGGGUCAAGGGAGACAAACAAAGGUUGAGACUCUGUGUCAACCAGAAUUCUAACAGCUCCAUUUGACCCAGUGAUGUAAUACUUUACCCACCUCCCAAGAUUUUUGGUAUUAGAUGCACAGAGGGAUUUUCAUAUGCAAUAAAUGUCUCACACCAGUGAAUCCUAAAACUAGGAGAUCAUGUGAAUGGACACCAUUUAAUAAUUUAAGUCUUUCUGGGCAUAAAGAACAAAAUCACGAAUCAAGGAGCUAAUAUUUGAAAAUGAUUCUGCUUGAAGUAUAGAUUAAUUUGACCACAA
rnacentral:sRNA from 1 species